rnacentral:rRNA from 1 species
GAUAAGUAGGGAAGUCCAGGCCCCUGGCUGUCAAGAAAAGCCGCUAUUGUUUUAUAUGUGCCCGUACCGCAAACCGACACAGGUGGAUGAGGAGAGAAUCCUAAGGCCGACGGGAGAAGUAUUGUUAAGGAACUCGGCAAAAUGACACCGUAACUUCGGGAGAAGGAGUGCCAUGAGAGUGGCCGCAGAGAAAUGGCCCAAGCAACUGUUUAGCAAAAACACAGGUCUAUGCAAAACCGCAAGGUGAAGUAUAUGGGCUGACGCCUGCCCGGUGCUGGAAGGUUAAGGGGAGAGGUUAGCGCAAGCGAAGCUUUGAACUUAAGCCCCAGUAAACGGCGGCCGUAACAAUAACGGUCCUAAGGUAGCGAAAUUCCUUGUCGGGUAAGUUCCGACCCGCACGAAAGGCGUAAUGAUUUGGGCACUGUCUCAACGAUACACCCGGUGAAAUUGAAAUACCAGUGAAGAUGCUGGUUACCUGCGCCAGGACGGAAAGACCCCAUGGAGCUUUACUCCAGUUUGAUACUGGGAUUCGGCAUGGUAUGUACAGGAUAGGUGGGAGACUGAGAAGGUAUGACGUCAGUUGUACCGGAGUCGCUGUUGGGAUACCACCCUUACCAUGUUGGAUUUCUAACCUGUGGCCGUGAACCUGUCAGGGGACAAUGUCAGGCGGGGAGUUUGACUGGGGCGGUCGCCUCCGAAAGGGUAUCGGAGGCGCUCAAAGGUUCCCUCAGAAUGGUUGGAAACCAUUCGAAGAGUGCAAAGGCAGAAGGGAGCUUGACUGUGACACCGACGGGUGGAGCAGGUACGAAAGUAGGACUUAGUGAUCCGGUGGUAUAAAGUGGGAUUGCCAUCGCUCAACGGAUAAAAGCUACCCUGGGGAUAACAGGCUUAUCACUCCCAAGAGUUCACAUCGACGGAGUGGUUUGGCACCUCGAUGUCGGCUCAUCGCAUCCUGGAGCUGUAGCAGGUUCCAAGGGUUGGGCUGUUCGCCCAUUAAAGCGGUACGCGAGCUGGGUUCAGAACGUCGUGAGACAGUUCGGUCCCUAUCCGGCGCAGGCGGAGGAAAUUUGAUAGGAGCUGUCCUUAGUACGAGAGGACCGGGAUGGACGGACCGCUGGUGUAUCUGUUGUACUGCCAAGUGCAUCGCAGAGUAGCCAAGUCUGGAAGGGAUAAACGCUGAAGGCAUCUAAGCGUGAAGCCCCCCUAAAGAUAAGAUUUCCCAUACCGAAAGGUAGUAAGACCCCUUGAAGACGACGAGGUAGAUAGGGCAGAGGUGGAAGUGCGGUAACGCAUGGAGCUGACUGUUACUAAUCGGUCGAGGCUUUAACC